UGAGGAAUAUUGGUCAAUGGGCGAGAGCCUGAACCAGCCAAGUAGCGUGAAGGAUGACUGCCCUAUGGGUUGUAAACUUCUUUUAUAAAGGAAUAAAGUCGGGUAUGGAUACCCGUUUGCAUGUACUUUAUGAAUAAGGAUCGGCUAACUCCGUGCCAGCAGCCGCGGUAAUACGGAGGAUCCGAGCGUUAUCCGGAUUUAUUGGGUUUAAAGGGAGCGUAGAUGGAUGUUUAAGUCAGUUGUGAAAGUUUGCGGCUCAACCGUAAAAUUGCAGUUGAUACUGGAUAUCUUGAGUGCAGUUGAGGCAGGCGGAAUUCGUGGUGUAGCGGUGAAAUGCUUAGAUAUCACGAAGAACUCCGAUUGCGAAGGCAGCCUGCUAAGCUGCAACUGACAUUGAGGCUCGAAAGUGUGGGUAUCAAACAGGAUUAGAUACCCUGGUAGUCCACACGGUAAACGAUGAAUACUCGCUGUUUGCGAUAUACGGCAAGCGGCCAAGCGAAAGCGUUAAGUAUUCCACCUGGGGAGUACGCCGGCAACGGUGAAACUCAAAGGAAUUGACGGGGGCCCGCACAAGCGGAGGAACAUGUGGUUUAAUUCGAUGAUACGCGAGGAACCUUACCCGGGCUUAAAUUGCAGAUGAAUUACGGUGAAAGCCGUAAGCCGCAAGGCAUCUGUGAAGGUGCUGCAUGGUUGUCGUCAGCUCGUGCCGUGAGGUGUCGGCUUAAGUGCCAUAACGAGCGCAACCCUUGUUGUCAGUUACUAACAGGUUCUGCUGAGGACUCUGACAAGACUGCCAUCGUAAGAUGUGAGGAAGGUGGGGAUGACGUCAAAUCAGCACGGCCCUUACGUCCGGGGCUACACACGUGUUACAAUGGGGGGUACAGAGGGCCGCUACCACGCGAGUGGAUGCCAAUCCCCAAAACCUCUCUCAGUUCGGACUGGAGUCUGCAACCCGACUCCACGAAGCUGGAUUCGCUAGUAAUCGCGCAUCAGCCACGGCGCGGUGAAUACGUUCCC
rnacentral:rRNA from 1 species